rnacentral:rRNA from 1 species
UACGUAGGGGGCAAGCGUUGUCCGGAUUUAUUGGGCGUAAAGGGCGUGUAGGCGGCCAGACAGGUCCGUUGUGAAAACUCGAGGCUCAACCUCGAGACGCCGAUGGAAACCGUUUGGCUAGAGUCCGGAAGAGGAGAGUGGAAUUCCUGGUGUAGCGGUGAAAUGCGCAGAUAUCAGGAAGAACACCCGUGGCUAAGGCGGCUCUCUAGUACGGUACUGACGCUGAGACGCGAAAGCGUGGGGAGCGAACAGG